UACAGAGGCCACGAGCGUUAGGCGGAAUCACUGGGCUUAAAGCGUGUGUAGGUGGAUGGGUAAGUACCUUGUGAAAUCCCACGGCUCAACCGUGGAACUGCUUGGUAUACUGCCUGUCUUGAGGCACUCAGGGGCGAGCGGAACAAAUGGUGGAGCGGUGAAAUGCGUAGAUAUCAUUUGGAACGCCAAUGGUGAAGACAGCUCGCUGGGGGUGUACUGACACUGAGACACGAAAGCCAGGGGAGCAAAUGGG
rnacentral:rRNA from 1 species